UGUGAGCCUUGCAUGGCAUGCGUACGUAACU
rnacentral:piRNA from 1 species